GGUGCGAGCGUUGUCCGGAAUUACUGGGCGUAAAGAGCUCGUAGGUGGUUUGUCGCGUUGUUCGUGAAAUCUCACGGCUUAACUGUGAGCGUGCGGGCGAUACGGGCAGACUUGAGUACUGCAGGGGAGACUGGAAUUCCUGGUGUAGCGGUGGAAUGCGCAGAUAUCAGGAGGAACACCGGUGGCGAAGGCGGGUCUCUGGGCAGUAACUGACGCUGAGGAGCGAAAGCGUGGGGAGCGAACAGGAUUAGAUACCCUGGUAGUCCACGCCGUAAACGGUGGGUACUAGGUGUGGGUUUCCUUCCUUGGGAUCCGUGCCGUAGCUAACGCAUUAAGUACCCCGCCUGGGGAGUACGGCCGCAAGGCUAAAACUCAAAGAAAUUGACGGGGGCCCGCACAAGCGGCGGAGCAUGUGGAUUAAUUCGAUGCAACGCGAAGAACCUUACCUGGGUUUGACAUGCACAGGACGCCGGCAGAGAUGUCGGUUCCCUUGUGGCCUGUGUGCAGGUGGUGCAUGGCUGUCGUCAGCUCGUGUCGUGAGAUGUUGGGUUAAGUCCCGCAACGAGCGCAACCCUUGUCUCAUGUUGCCAGCGGGUAAUGCCGGGGACUCGUGAGAGACUGCCGGGGUCAACUCGGAGGAAGGUGGGGAUGACGUCAAGUCAUCAUGCCCCUUAUGUCCAGGGCUUCACACAUGCUACAAUGGCCGGUACAAAGGGCUGCGAUGCCGCGAGGUUAAGCGAAUCCUUUUAAAGCCGGUCUCAGUUCGGAUCGGGGUCUGCAACUCGACCCCGUGAAGUCGGAGUCGCUAGUAAUCGCAGAUCAGCA
rnacentral:rRNA from 1 species